rnacentral:rRNA from 1 species
UAGGGAAUAUUGCGCAAUGGAGGAAACUCUGACGCAGCGACGCCGCGUGAGUGAUGAAGGACUUCGGUUCGUAAAGCUCUGUUGCAAGGGAAAAAGAAAGUGAUUGUACCUUGUGAGGAAGGGUCGGCUAACUUCGUGCCAGCAGCCGCGGUAAGACGAGGGACCCUAGCGUUGUUCGGAAUCAUUGGGCGUAAAGCGGGUGUAGGUGGCCUUGUAAGUCAGGUGUGAAAGCCCAGGGCUUAACCCUGGAAGUGCAUUUGAUACUGCGAAGCUUGAGUGCUGGAGAGGCUAUUAGAAUUCCUGGUGUAGUGGUGAAAUACGUAGAUAUCAGGAGGAAUACCGGAGGCGAAGGCGGAUAGCUGGCCAGACACUGACACUCAGACCCGAAAGUGCGGGGAUCAAACAG